CCCCUCUCUCUCUCUCUCUCUCUCUCUCUCUCUCUCUCUCUCUCUCUCUCUCUCUCUCUCUCUCUCUUUUUCUAUCCCUCACACUCUCUCUCUCCAUUGACAUGUCCCUAAAGCAUCUAUAUGUCCCUGAAAGCUUUAACUCAAUUUCUCUCUGCCUCCCCGCACAACAUCUUAUGUGUCGUUUCCACAGCAAUUAUCCUAUGUGUCAUUAUUAAAACAUAUUAUAUGGCGUUUUAAUUUGUUAUAAUAGGUCAAUCAUUAAUCUUACGUGGAAAUACCUAUGAUGUGUCUUUUUUCCUCAAUUAUGAGCCAUC
rnacentral:lncRNA from 1 species